UGAAAAGGCAGGGCCAGAAGUAUAACCAAUAGUAUAUGCCCCCAAUUAUUAUCCAAAGGUGGAAAUUGCAUUUUGUCUUUUCAUAACAAAAACUUCUCCCUCUUUCAAUACCAAAAAAUAAAAUACAAGUUAAAAUCUGCACUGCAGUCUGCAGGCCUUUCUAGUGUCCCGAAACAAAAAAGAGUUAACUCUCCAAAAUCACCUAUGUUUAUUGACUCAGUUUGAAGGGGUAAAAAAAGCAUCUCAGGCUCCAUAUCCAAACAAACACCUAUGCUUCCGCAGUCUCGGCACCACCUGUUGUUGGUCUCCCAACAAACACUUUAAAAGCAUCAUAAAUUCCCCAUU
rnacentral:lncRNA from 1 species